rnacentral:rRNA from 1 species
AGACAGAGGGUGCAAACGUUGCUCGGAAUUACUGGGCGUAAAGGGCGCGUAGGCGGAUUUGGAAGUCGGGUGUGAAAUCCCUGGGCUCAACCUAGGAACUGCAUUCGAAACUCCAAGUCUAGAGUGACGGAGAGGAAAGCGGAAUUCCCGGUGUAGAGGUGAAAUUCGUAGAUAUCGGGAGGAACACCAGAGGCGAAGGCGGCUUUCUGGACGUCUACUGACGCUGAGGCGCGAAAGCGUGGGGAGCAAACAGGAUUAGAUACCCUGGUAGUCCACGCCGUAAACGUUGGGCACUAGGUGUCGCGACGAUGACUGUUGCGGUGCCGUAGCUAACGCAUUAAGUGCCCCGCCUGGGGAGUACGGCCGCAAGGCUAAA